CUCUCUCCAGCGGUCAGGUUGAAGACCCUCUCCAGCAGUCAGGUUGAAGACCCUCUCCAGCGGUCAGGUUGAAGACCCUCUCCAACAGUCAGGUUGAAGACCCUCUCUCCAGCGGUCAGGUUGAAGACCCUCUCUCCAGCGGUCAGGUUGAAGACCCUCUCCAGCAGUCAGGUUGAAGACCCUCUCUCCAGCGGUCAGGUUGAAGACCCUCUCCAGCGGUCAGGUUGAAGACCCUCUCUCCAGUGGUCAGGUUGAAGACCCUCUCUCCAACGGUCAGGUUGAAGACCCUCUCUCUCCAAUGGUCAGGUUGAAGACCCUCUCCAACGGUCAGGUUGAAGACCCUCUCUCCAACGGUCAGGUUGAAGACCCUCUCUCCAGCGGUCAGGUUGAAGACCCUCUCUCCAGCAGUCAGGUUGAAGACCCUCUCUCCAGCGGUCAGGUUGAAGACCCUCUCUCCAGCGGUCAGGUUGAAGACCCUCUCCAACGGUCAGGUUGAAGACCCUCUCCAGCGGUCAGGUUGAAGACCCUCUCUCCAGCGGUCAGGUUGAAGACCCUCUCUCCAGCGGUCAGGUUGAAGACCCUCUCCAACGGUCAGGUUGAAGACCCUCUCCAGCGGUCAGGUUGAAGACCCUCUCCAACGGUCAGGUUGAAGACCCUCUCUCCAGCGGUCAGGUUGAAGACCCUCUCUCCAGCGGUCAGGUUGAAGACCCUCUCUCCAGCGGUCAGGUUGAAGACCCUCUCUCCAGCGGUCAGGUUGAAGACCCUCUCUCCAGCGGUCAGGUUGAAGACCCUCUCUCCAGCGGUCAGGUUGAAGACCCUCUCUCCAGCGGUCAGGUUGAAGACCCUCUCCAGCAGUCAGGUUGAAGACCCUCUCUCCAGCGGUCAGGUUGAAGACCCUCUCCAGCGGUCAGGUUGAAGACCCUCUCUCCAGUGGUCAGGUUGAAGACCCUCUCUCCAACGGUCAGGUUGAAGACCCUCUCUCCAGCGGUCAGGUUGAAGACCCUCUCCAGCAGUCAGGUUGAAGAACCUCUCCAGCGGUCAGGUUGAAGACCCUCUCUCCAGCAGUCAGGUUGAAGACCCUCUCCAGCGGUCAGGUUGAAGACCCUCUCCAGCAGUCAGGUUGAAGACCCUCUCUCCAGCGGUCAGGUUGAAGACCCUCUCUCCAGCGGUCAGGUUGAAGACCCUCUCUCCAGCGGUCAGGUUGAAGACCCUCUCCAGUGGUCAGGUUGAAGACCCUCUCUCCAGCGGUCAGGUUGAAGACCCUCUCCAGUGGUCAGGUUGAAGACCCUCUCCAACAGUCAGGUUGAAGACCAGACAGACAGGAACUUUAAUUUUUCAUUCCAGUCAGGCACAGCAAAGUAGCGUUCACAGUCUAAAUUAGCCACGUCAUUAACGUGUGUUUUCAGAUCACCGACAUAAUUCAACGCACACACACACACACACACACACACAC